GCUUACAUUUUUAAAUAAGUCUUGAUAAAUCAAUAUUUAUUGAUGUUACAAGGCUUUAUUUCUUCAGUUUCCAUCACGUUUAACCAGUAAGAGUGGCCUGUGAAUAACUCUGUGUUUUUAUUAAUCCGUAGCGUUUAUUAACGAAGUCACUAACUUCGCAUAAUUUAUAUUAUGUUAAAUAAAAUAAAUGGUAAGUCACUUCUGGGAAUUUGAGGUUUGCUCUCUUUAAAAAUGACUGGGUAACAAAAUUUAUUUCUUGAAUAUUUGAUUUUUU
rfam:Aggregatibacter actinomycetemcomitans D11S-1, complete genome.